rnacentral:rRNA from 1 species
CAUGGAGGGUGAGAAUCCCGUUCAUGGUUAAUAUCAAGAUGCUUUACGAUACGUUUUCAAAGAGUCGAGUUGUUUGGGAUUGCAGCUCAAAAUGGGAGGUAAAUUUCUCCUAAAGCUAAAUAUUGGCCGGAGACCGAUAGCGCACAAGUAGAGUGAUCGAAAGAUGAAAAGCACUUUGAAAAGAGAGUUAAACAGCAUGUGAAAUUGUUGAAAGGGAAACGAUUGAAGCCAGUCGUACCGACGGGAAUUCAACUUCUCGAGUGCUAAUCGUGGGUGACGUUGAGCCUCACGGCCUUCGUUGCUUGUGUUGUUGGUGCUUUUGGGGUGUACUUUUCCGUAUGGUAGGUCAGCAUCGAUUUCGAUCGUCAUAAAAUGAUCGGGGGAAUGUAGCUUCGGUCUCGUAUCGGAGUGUUAUAGACCUUGGUAGAUGUGACGAUUGGGAUCGAGGAUUGCAACGAAUACCCUCUGGGCUAUCCGUCUGACCUCUGAAAGUCGCUCGGGUGUCGAAAGCGUGCUUAUGGCUAUUCGAGUUGGCGGUCAACAGGUUAGAACGUGAUUACAUUCGUUAAGGAUGUUGACGUAAUGG